UACGUAGGUGGCAAGCGUUGUCCGGAAUUAUUGGGCGUAAAGCGCGCGCAGGCGGCCUCUUAAGUCUGAUGUGAAAGCCCCCGGCUCAACCGGGGAGGGCCAUUGAUACUGGUUAUCUUGAGUAUAGUUGAGGCAGGCGGAAUUUACGAUGUAGCGGUGAAAUGCAUAGAUAUCGUAAAGAACACCUAUAGCGAAGGCAGCUUGCUAAACUAUAACUGACGCUGAGGCGCGAAAGCGUGGGGAGCAAACAGG
rnacentral:misc_RNA from 1 species